rnacentral:rRNA from 1 species
UACGAAGGGGGCUAGCGUUGUUCGGAAUUACUGGGCGUAAAGGGCUCGUAGGUGGCCAACUAAGUCAGACGUGAAAUCCCUCGGCUUAACCGGGGAACUGCGUCUGAUACUGGAUGGCUUGAGUUUGGGAGAGGGACGCGGAAUUCCAGGUGUAGCGGUGAAAUGCGUAGAUAUCUGGAGGAACACCGGUGGCGAAGGCGGCAUCCUGGACCAAUAUUGACGCUGAGGAGCGAAAGCUAGGGGAGCAAACGGG